rnacentral:rRNA from 1 species
AACGAACGCUGGCGGCAGGCUUAACACAUGCAAGUCGAGCGCCCCGCAAGGGGAGCGGCAGACGGGUGAGUAACGCGUGGAAUCUACCCAUCUCUACGGAAUAACGCAUGGAAACGUGUGCUAAUACCGUAUACGUCCUUCGGGAGAAAGAUUUAUCGGAGAUGGAUGAGCCCGCGUUGGAUUAGCUAGUUGGUGGGGUAAAGGCCUACCAAGGCGACGAUCCAUAGCUGGUCUGAGAGGAUGAUCAGCCACACUGGGACUGAGACACGGCCCAGACUCCUACGGGAGGCAGCAGUGGGGAAUAUUGGACAAUGGGGGCAAGCCUGAUCCAGCCAUGCCGCGUGAGUGAGGAAGGCCCUAGGGUUGUAAAGCUCUUUCACCGGUGAAGAUAAUGACGGUAACCGGAGAAGAAGCCCCGGCUAACUUCGUGCCAGCAGCCGCCGUAACAC